AGUUGAAUCGGUUGAAUCGCGAGCAUCGUCUACAUGAUCAGCCGAGACAGCAAAGUUGGUUCUUUAUUCUAUGGCAAAGCGUGGCCGGAAGCGCCAGUUCACUGCCGACGAAAUACGAGACCGUCGCAACACAGAGAAAAGUGCCAAGCGAGCUGCUGCAGCGAAACAACGUCCACCACCCAAGUCCCCGACAACGCGGAAGGCAGAGCUAGCGGCUGCGGAGCGAGCACGACGAGCUGCAGCGGCUGUAGUGACACACUGAGCAACAAGUAAUGCUCUCGCAUUUACACACCAUAAGAAUUGCUUAGGUGCCCUCAUAAGUUUUUUUUAAACGUCCGAAUUGUCGCCGUUGUCCGAACGAAAUCUUCAAGAAGUUGAUAUUGUUUUUGGCCGCGGGACACAAAGUUUCGGCACAGAGGUAAACCGUAUGGGACAGAACACAUGCAGGCACCAUUACUCUGGAGACGUGUGCAAAAAUGCCCACCAAAUUUGUUCCCCUGUCUCGCGGCGCUGAGUUGAAACCUUUAAAAUGGUGCAGUGGAGUGAGCGAUUAUUUUAGAGCGCAGCUCCGAAGCCCUGCUUAGAAGUCCGUUCCUGCGUUGAGCGUCGGCGUUCCUGGGCGUCCCUCGGAGUAACCGAGCGAACGAGCACAGCGAAGGAUGAAAGAGCGAACGUGAAGUGCAGCGGGGGGAUGUAAUAAGGCGAUAGUGAAGAGAGCGUGAGGAGGAGGGUGCAGUGGAACCACGAGGUGGAGGGGGAAGGGUAUGGUGAAAGCGUGAAAAAAAAAAGUGUAGUGCUCUGCGGCAACGACCCCUACAAGAUGGUGCCAGAGUACCGCGCCAUCGUCAGUACGUCACGGAUAAGGCGUGCGGCGAGUGCGUCCACCGAUACCAUAUAUGGAAACAAAGCGCUGCAUGAGCAGAGGUCUGUCUGCGGCGGCUGCUGUGAAUCGCACUCAUGCGCUACCUCUCACAAUUGGCGAGGAAGUCACGCCACACUUCGCUCCGUUUGCUAUGUGCUGCACGAGACAGAUUGUCCGCUCCAGCCAUGUCACUCACAGCGUUAACUUCCCUUUGUAAUAUAAACCUUGUAUAUAUAUAUAAUCAUUACACAAUGUAUAAUCACAAUACAGAAUAGUGUCAGCCAGUUCUUUCUGCCGAUGAGCUUCUGCCGAUGAGCAACGCAACCGGUGGAAGUGCUUUGUCUGCCGCAGCUGCUAAACGAGCUGCCCGAGCAGAGGCUCAGCGCCGCCGCCGCCGUCAGAAUCCAGAGUUGCGGGCCGCCGAAGCAGAAGCUAAGCGCCGUCGCCGAAAUGACCCGCAAGUGCGCGCUGCCGAAGCAGAAGCUAGGCGCCGCCGCUGCUGAAAGGGACCCUGCUAUUCGCGCCACCAGGGCAGCAGCUCAGCGCCGCCGCCGUCAGAAUCCAGAGGUGCGUGCCGCCGAAGCAGAAGCUAAGCGCCGUCGCCGAAAUGACCCGGAAGUGCGCGCCGCCGAAGCAGAAGCUUAUCGUCGCCGCUGCCAAGAGGACCCUGCAGUUCGUGCCGCCAAAGCAGAGGCUCAGCGCCGCCGACGUCAGAAUCCAGAGGUGCGCGCCACUGAGGCAGAAGCUAAGCACCGUCGCCGAGAUCUGGGCGUUCGCGCUGCCGAAGCAGAAGCUUAUCGUCGCCGCUGCCAAAAGGACCCUGCAGUUCGCUCCGCCAAAGCAGAGGCUCAGCGUCGCCGACGUCAGAAUCCGGAGGUGUGUGCCGCUGAGGCAGAAGCUAAGCGCCGUCGUCGAGAAGACCCUGCUGUUCACACUGCCAAGGCCGAAGCUAUAUGCAAAGCAAGGCUUGCAAAGAGUGAGGCUGCAACAAACAUUAGCGACAAUCCAUUUGGGAGUGUGUGUUCAGUGUGGGACCGGCUCCAGAAUGACCUGAAACCGUUACCGGAUAGGUGCCACGAGACACUUCAGCGGGAAUUUCCCAACUUGGACCUGUGCCAAUUCAGGCUAUGUUCGACGUGCAUGCGACCUGUGGGGAAGGGUGACAUUCCUUCAUAUUCCCACAACCAACGGUUCCAAAUAUCCCCCGAAGCCCUGGCACCUCCCACAUCUCAAUGCGAAGCCAGUCCAGAAGGAUCGGGGCGACAAAACUGUAGCGAACAGCGACAGUCCGCAGGGCAAUGGGUUGGCGCCGUGGACCGCUCAUGUCAAAGGACGAAGGCAACACAGUGCAAGUCCUGUGUUGAUCAAGUGUGUACAUUUGGCACUCAGACAGAGACUGGACAUGUAAUGGCGGAAACAAGCACCCAAACUGCCAUGGCCUUCACGCGUACCAUCCUGUGCAGACAACAAGACCAACGCAUCUACAGCGGAGGAAGCUGCUAGGUGUUCACCAGGAAGCUACAGUCUCUACCAAACCCAAGGUAACACAGUGCAAGUCCUGUGUUGAUCAAGUGUGUACAUUGGGCAGUCAGACAGAGACUGGACAUGUGAUGGCGGAAACGAGCACCCAAACUGCCAUGGCCUUCCCACGUACCAUUCCUGUGCAGACAAGUCCAACGGAAUUAAGAAGCCAAGGUACAAACACAGGAAUGAUGAGCUGAAAGAGGAAUAAUCAUCCACUCGAUGCUGAAGAGACAUUUCGAAGAGGCUCGACCGGAGGGAAGCAAGCCCCCAUCAAGCUAGCACCUGUUAUGGUCACCUGGCAUCGACUACGUGGAAGCAGCUGUUUGCGGGUGAUGCCAAAUGCUGCCACCAUGAAGAUAGCGCACGAAGAGUGCAUGUGAUAAAGCUUUCAAUGGCAUAUUAUUGUCAACAGUGUUCGAGGAGUACUGUAAUGGCAUUUUCGACUUGUCGCGUUCUUGUUUUUUUAAGUGAAAGUGCAAACCUUCUAAAUGCUUGAAAAAUAUUACCUUCAAGUGUGAUAGCGUCAUAAAGAACUUAUUUAGUGAGGUGCUUUUCUAGUACCAGGAGGUGGACCCACCAUGACAUCAUGACGCACUAGGUCGCUCCGGUCCUGUGGGCACUGCAGCUACAGUCACAGAUGUGCAGCAUUGUGAACCCUGUAUAUUGUCUAAUUUAUCAUAUUUGCUACGCUGCUUGAUACCUCAAAAUUCUGAUUGUCGCACGCAAAACUAUACGCAUAGCCUGCAGCAGCGCUUUUGAUAAAUCGGAAGUUUUAGUUGCAGAUACUUCAGCAAACCAAGUACUAUUAUAAUUAAUUAAUCACUGUAAUAUUGAAAUCACCUCAAAUAACAUUUCAUUGUAUUUUUUGUACAAGUUUGCUCCCCAUGGCCGGAAAUAAAGGUUAUCAAGUUGUAAUUUUUUUGAUGUGGAACUGUGUUUGAGCAUUACAGGGUUAAUUUUUUUAAAAGCAAACUACAUACAUGCAGCAAAUUUUGCUCCAUGUCCUGACUGGGGCUGGGCAUUGAUCGAAAAUUUGUUUCCAAAUAAUUGGAACCCAUUGAUAAAAUUUUCCUACUUAAGCAUACGCUGUCAAAAAUUAAAUCUGGUGCUCCACAUGAAGAAAAGUCGAAGAAGUGAAGCCGUACUAUUAAUUUAUUGAUUGUUGCCUUUAAUAUCACGUCAGCAACACUGGGUGAGUGGCCACUAUCAUGAGCUCAGGUGCAGUCAUAAGUCUAGCUGCAAGUAAGGGUGUAAGAGGAAAAGGAACUUAACAUUCUCUGGCACCCCAUCACAGCGGCCCUGCUUUAGCGUAGGUAGGUUGUUUGGGGUCAGAACUCGAAAGGAUGCAAAUGGCGUGCUUCCGGCUACUCACAUGUCGGGGGAAAAAAGUUAUUUUCUUGAAAACCACAAAUUUAUUAGUGUGUUGCUGACCUUUUGUUCAGCGCCAAUGCACUAGCAGUUGCAGCACUGACUGGAGAAGAAAUCCAGAGGUGUUUUAUUUGUUAGAACAUUGUAGCACGGUUAUGUAAUUCUUUUCCUUGCUGUUGUGCAAGUGAAGUGUGGACCUCAGGGACAUCAUUCACUUGAUUUUGCUCAAGCAAAUAAUCGCAAUAAAAAAAAAUCAUUGCGUGAAGCAGUAAUCAAAUAACCAGAAGCUUAAUUAAUCAAUCACCCAGCCCGAGUCGUGGCAUCACAAUAAUGUGAAUGGCAUUAGGUUCCACAUUUCGAGGCCAACUUUAGUAUCAAAUUGAAAUACCGUAUUUUCGAGCACGUAAUCUGCACCAAAAUUUUUAAAAUUUACUGUUAAAGUCGGAGUGCAUGCUAUAUGCAAACUUCCUAUUGAGGUAUAGCUUCACUGCAGCGAGGUUUCUGCCUUGAGGUGUCGCUUCACGGCGGCGUAGCGUGUGCCACCGUGAAGCCACACUUCAAGGCAAAAGUGAAAGUUCGCGGCUAGUCAGUUUCAUUUUAUCCUACAGAAGCCCACUGUUUCCCCGCCGCUGCAUGUUGACCUUCAUACUUCUUCAUACUUCUUUCUUCAUACCUUCAUGAAGGUAUGAAGUACUUCUUCAUACUUCAUACCUUCAUACUUAUUUCAUGAUCGGCCGUUGUCCUCUUUUCAUGUCACCAUUUAGCCUUUUGGCUGUGAUGAAGUUAGCUAAUAGCGCAGAUGACGCUGGCGACCCAGAAUUCUUAUUACGAUGAGCUGUGCUUGACGGCAGUACAUACAGUGCUGCAUAAGCAGAGUAUAAUCAGCGUCUCCGAUAAUGUGGGGAACAGAGCUGCCGGCCAUUGGUACGAUGCGGACUAAUCAUGCAUUUGUGAAUAAAAUUGUUUUUACAAGUA